GUGUCAGCAGCCGCGGUAAUUAGAAACCCGCGUAGUCCGGAUUUAUUGGGCGUAAAGCGAGCGCAGGCGGUUUCUUAAGUCUGAUGUGAAAGCCCCCGGCUCAACCGGGGAGGGUCAUUGGAAGCUGGGAGACUUGAGUGCAGAAGAGGAGAGUGGAAUUCCAUGUGUAGCGGUGAAAUGCGUAGAUAUAUGGAGGAACACCAGUGGCGAAGGCGGCUCUCUGGUCUGUAACUGACGCUGAGGCUCGAAAGCGUGGGGAGCAAACAGGAUUAGAAACCCGCGUAGUCC
rnacentral:rRNA from 1 species